rnacentral:rRNA from 1 species
AUACGAAGGGGGCUAGCGUUGUUCGGAAUUACUGGGCGUAAAGCGCGCGUAGGCGGAUUGGUCAGUUAGGGGUGAAAUCCCGGAGCUUAACUCCGGAACUGCCUUUGAUACUGUCAAUCUUGAGUUCGAGAGAGGUGAGUGGAAUUCCUAGUGUAGAGGUGAAAUUCGUAGAUAUUAGGAAGAACACCAGUGGCGAAGGCGGCUCACUGGCUCGAUACUGACGCUGAGGUGCGAAAGCGUGGGGAGCAAACGGGAUUAGAAACCCUAGUAGUCC